ACUCAAAUGAAUUGACGGGGGCUCACACAAGCGGUGGAGCAUGUGGCUUAAUUCGAAGCAACGCGAAGAACCUUACCCGGGUUUGACAUGCAAGAGUGCCUUCCGGGGAUGACUUGGAAGGCUGCCCUUCGGGGUGAUGCUUGCACAGGUGUUGCACGGCUGUCGUCAGCUCGUGCUGUGAAGUGUCGGGUUAAGUCCCUUAACGAGCGAAACCCUUGUCGUUAGUUACUAACGGGUCAUGCCGAGGACUCUAACGAGACUGCCGGCGUUAAGCCGGAGGAAGGCGGGGACGACGUCAAGUCAUCGUGGCCCUUAUGCCCGGGGAUGCACACGUGCUACAAUGGCGACUACAGAGCGCUGCAAGACCGCGAGGUGGAGCAAAUCGCAAAAAAGUCGCCCCAGUUCGGAUUGGAGGCUGCAAUUCGCCUCCAUGAAGUUGGAAUCGCUAGUAAUCGCGCAUCAGCUACGGCGCGGUGAAUGUGUUCCUGAGCCUUGCACACACCGCCCGU
rnacentral:rRNA from 1 species